rnacentral:rRNA from 1 species
ACGUACACUCCUGCGGGAGGCAGCAGUGGGGAAUUUUGGACAAUGGGCGAAAGCCUGAUCCAGCCAUGCCGCGUGCAGGAUGAAGGCCUUCGGGUUGUAAACUGCUUUUGUACGGAACGAAACGGCCUUUUCUAAUAAAGAGGGCUAAUGACGGUACCGUAAGAAUAAGCACCGGCUAACUACGUGCAAGCAGCCGCGGUAAUACGUAGGGUGCAAGCGUUAAUCGGAAUUACUGGGCGUAAAGCGUGCGCAGGCGGUUAUGUAAGACAGUUGUGAAAUCCCCGGGCUCAACCUGGGAACUGCAUCUGUGACUGCAUAGCUAGAUUACGGUAGAGGGGGAUGGAAUUCCGCGUGUAGCAGUGAAAUGCGUAGAUAUGCGGAGGAACACCGAUGGCGAAGGCAAUCCCCUGGGCCUGUACUGACGCUCAUGCACGAAAGCGUGGGGAGCAAACAGGAUUAGAAACCCUAGUAGUCCCA